GACGAACGCUGGCGGCGUGCUUAACACAUGCAAGUCGAACGGAAAGGCCCUGCUUUUGUGGGGUGCUCGAGUGGCGAACGGGUGAGUAACACGUGAGUAACCUGCCCUUGACUUUGGGAUAACUUCAGGAAACUGGGGCUCAUACCGGAUAGGAGCUCCUGCUGCAUGGUGGGGGUUGGAUAGUUUCGGCGGUUGGGGAUGGACUCGCGGCUUAUCAGCUUGUUGGUGGGGUAGUGGCUUACCAAGGCUUUGACGGGUAGCCGGCCUGAGAGGGUGACCGGCCACAUAGGGACUGGGAUACGGACCAGACUCAUACGGGAGGCAGGAGUGGGGAAUAUUGCACAAUGGGCGGAAGCAUGAUGCAGCAACGCCGCGUGCGGGAUGACGGCCUUCGGGUGGGAAACCGCUUUCGCCUGUGACGAAGCGUGAGUGACGGUAAUGGGUAAAGAAGCACCGGCUAACUACGU
rnacentral:rRNA from 1 species